CCUACGGGUGGCAGCAGUGAGGAAUAUUGGUCAAUGGACGAGAGUCUGAACCAGCCAAGUAGCGUGAAGGAUGACUGCCCUAUGGGUUGUAAACUUCUUUUAUAUGGGAAUAAAAUGUUCCACGUGUGGGAUUUUGUAUGUACCAUAUGAAUAAGGCACGGCUAACUCCGUGCCCGCAGCCGCGGUAAUACGGAGGAUGCGAGCGUUAUCCGGAUUUAUUGGGGUUAAAGGGAUCGUAGGUGGAUUGUUAAGUCCGUUGUGAAAGUUUGCGGCUCAACCGUAAAAUUGCAGUUGAAACUGGCAGGCUUGAGUACAGUAGAGGUGGGCGGAAUUCGUGGUGUAGCGGUGAAAUGCUUAGAUAUCACGAAGAACUCCGAUUGCGAAGGCAGUUCACUGGACUGCAACUGACACUGAGGCUCGAAAGUGUGGGUAUCAAACAGGAUUAGAUACCCGAGUAGUC
rnacentral:rRNA from 1 species